GAUGAACGCUGGCGGCGUGCUUAACACAUGCGAGUCGAACGAUGAAGCCCAGCUUGCUGGGUGGAUUAGUGGCGAACGGGUGAGUAACACGUGAGUAACCUGCCCUUGACUCUGGGAUAAGCCUGGGAAACUGGGUCUAAUACUGGAUAUGACUUCUCAUCGCAUGGUGGGGGGUGGAAAGAUUUAUUGGUCUUGGAUGGACUCGCGGCCUAUCAGCUUGUUGGUGAGGUAAUGGCUCACCAAGGCGACGACGGGUAGCCGGCCUGAGAGGGUGACCGGCCACACUGGGACUGAGACACGGCCCAGACUCCUACGGGAGGCAGCAGUGGGGAAUAUUGCACAAUGGGCGCAAGCCUGAUGCAGCGACGCCGCGUGAGGGAUGACGGCCUUCGGGUUGUAAACCUCUUUCAGUAGGGAAGAAGCGAGAGUGACGGUACCUGCAGAAGAAGCGCCGGCUAACUACGUG
rnacentral:rRNA from 1 species